GUGGGGAAUAUUGGGCAAUGGGCGAAAGCCUGACCCAGCAACGCCGCGUGAAGGAAGAAGGUUUUCGGAUCGUAAACUUCUAUCCUUGGUGAAGAUAAUGACGGUAGCCAAGAAGGAAGCCCCGGCUAACUACGUGCCAGCAGCCGCGGUAAUACGUAGGGGACAAGCGUUGUCCGGAAUGAUUGGGCGUAAAGGGCGCGUAGGCGGCCCGGUAAGUCUGAAGUGAAAGUCCUGCUUUUAAGGUGGGAAUUGCUUUGGAUACUGUCGGGCUUGAGUGCAGGAGAGGUAAGCGGAAUUCCCGGUGUAGCGGUGAAAUGCGUAGAGAUCGGGAGGAACACCAGUGGCGAAGGCGGCUUACUGGACUGUAACUGACGCUGAGGCGCGAAAGUGUGGGGAGCAAACAGGAUUAGAAACCCGGGUAGUCC
rnacentral:rRNA from 1 species